rnacentral:lncRNA from 10 species
CUCUAGAACUUUUCACUAGUGGGGAGCAACAAAACAUAUUAGAACUAACAAACUUACAAUGGACAUUUAAUAGUGGUUUUCCUUUCUAUUCUAUUUUUUAAAAUGUAAAUGGAGUAAAUGAUAAAAUGUAGACUGAAUUUAUCAUAAAGACAUUUUCUUUUGGUAUACUGCAAGGAACUAUGAACUUUUAGUAACUACUAUAAGCAACUGACAGUUCCAUCAAAGGAGGGAUCUUCCUACUGACCAGAAGACCUGAACAGCCUGAGAAUGAUUCCUUUCAACUCCGAGAGAAGAAGCUGCAGAUGAAGAGCAAGAUACUGUUUACUGAAAACCCACCAAUCUGAUCUUUUAUGAGAAGCUAGUCCCUGAAAAGGCCCUUGGAUCAAAGGUCAAAAACUUGAAGCACAGAGUGGGAUGUCAGAUGCCAAGAUUUAAAUCUAGUCAUUUGAUUCCAGAGCCCACAUUCUUAAAUAAUAUGCUACACUGACCUUUAUUGUCUUUAAACAUUAUCUUUAUUUAAUGUGUUUCAUAGAAAUUACUUCUCAGGUAUUCCUAAAUUUAUUUUUAAAAAUAAUGUCAUGCUAUCACUAUAAUAUAGUUUUUUAAAUUAACUUGAGAGGUAAUGUAGUAUGAUCAACUUCCUUAAUGGCCUUUUAAACUGGAAAUAACUAUUAAAUAUUUUAAUAUUAUAAAUUAACAGGCAAAAUGGUGAAAAAUCUAACAUCUGGUUCUUAAAAGUAAGUUGAAAUAUAAGAUCAGAUUUGAAUGCACAUGGAAAAAUAGAACUGGCAAAUAAUGCCAUAUUUGAAGAUCUUUUAGUAUUCUCUGGUAUUUUUCCUUUCAUUUCAAAAUUGUUAUAUUCUUUUUAAUGACUUCAAAUGAAUUAGGAAAUGUCAGGCUUCUAAAAAUCAAACAGAACGUCCAACCAGUAGAUUUCAUUCAGGGCAGUGGGAGCCUGUUCGGUUGUUUCCUCUUUCCCCCUCACUUUUAAAAAUCCUCAAUCACUGCCAUUUCUCUUCUCAGCUUUCACAACACUUUACAGGCAGCUGAAUGAAAGGGCAGAAGCUUCCUCUGAAACUCCUGUUAUUUCAGCUCUAAAAUCAGCUGAAAAGGAUGCCCUCCCCAGAGACAGAAAUGCAUUCCCUCCAUCAUGAACCUGCAAUGCCCUCAGGUUGUGGCAAGGGAGAAGUUUAGCACUUGAACCUAGAUAACGCUAUUUUUUUAAUCAAAGUGCACCAUUCUUGUUUCAUAUGGCCUGUGGCACAAUUUAUUUAAAACAAUAUGGUGCAUCAAAGAAGGUAAACAAUAAUAACAAUAAUAAUAAUAUAGGAAUAGCAAUGUGCACAUAAAUAAUAUAGGAAAACACAUGGCCUCAGUACCUUCAUGAAAUGGGACUUCAAUAUACAUAUUUCUUAUACAGCUUUAUGCAUGACUUCAUUGCACUUCACUGCUCUGUUGUGUCACUCUACCAAUAAACCUAUACAUCAUACUGAGUGAAGUAUGUUCACAGUCCCUUUACUUGACAAAAAAAAAAAAAAAAAAAAAAAAAAGGAGCAGUGUGGUUUAGGAGAAUGACCACUGAGCUAGAAGUAUGAAGACUAGAUAGAACUUGAGUCCCAUCCCCAGCACUUUCGGGCUCCCAGAUGUUGGGUGAGUUGUGCAUCCUCUUUAAAAAUCAGUUUGCAGACCAAUGGUACAUCUCUGUCCACCUGCUAGAGUUCUUGUGGUAACUAAAUAAGGUAAUGUAUAAGAAAGCAUUCUGAGAAAAUGCUACAUGUAAAAGGGGAUUUUUUUUUUCUCAUUGUGAUUUUUUUACUAUGUUUUUACUUUACAAAUUUACAAAUGUUUACUUUUCUUGAAUUUGCUUACCAGUAAAUUAGUUCA